GCUGUGGGGUUGCUCUGGUUAGAGUGUAUUUGCAAUCCCGUGGACUCCCUGAGUAAUGUUGUCUGGGGGAGUGUGUGCCUCCAGGACCCUGCGGACUCCCUCAGCAAUGUUGUCUGGGGGAGUGUGUGCCUCUAGGACCCUGCGGACUCCCUGAGUAAUGUUGUCUGGGGGACUGUGUCUCUAGGACCCUGCGGACUCCCUGAGUAAUGUUGUUUGGGGGAGUGUGUGCCUCUAGGACCCUGCGGACUCCCUGAGUAAUGUUGUCUGGGGGAGUGUGUGCCUCUAGGACCCUGCGGACUCCCUGAGUAAUGUUGUCUGGGGGGAGUGUGUGCCUCUAGGACCCUGCGGACUCCUCGCCCGGUAACCGCGAUAUUUCCCAGGUUCCUUUGCGUGUUUACAGGAAGUGAUGUCACAGCACGAGCCAGCCGCGGGUGAGUUUAUUUGAAAAUAACGAACGGUCACAUUUAAACUUGGACAGUUUUAACUUGAACAAAUUGAUCGGAAACUCCAAUACUUACCAGACCCUGGGAACUGUUGGGGCGGCAUUCCUGCUCAGCUUCUGGAAGUUUCCACGGGCCUUGACCAAUCAGGAGACACCGAGUUAAUUGGUUUGGUCACCUUGAAAUGUUGUGGAUGGUUUGUGAACGUCCACUAUGUUCAGAUAGUCCCGGAGUCCUCAAACGUUCCUCAUAUGUUCAGCCUUUCAUUCCUGGGAUCAUUCUGGUGAACAUCCUCUGGAUCUGCUUUCGGGCCAAUGCAUCCUUCCUGAGGAUCUCAGUAACAUGGAACUUCGAGGCUUUUGCUGAAUAUGCAGCACAGAAAGAGGAAGGAGGAAGUAGGCUGGCCAACAAUGAAUAAAUUUGCUGGAAAUGUAUUGACACAUUGCAGAUAAACAGUGAGGCUGUUCUUCCAGUUUCUGUUCAUCUCUCUGGAAGGAAGUGAUCUGCUGAGAUGUGAGAUUCAACUCCACAAUGUUCCGAUAUUGGGGAUAUAAAAAAGCCAGGCAUUUUGAAAAUUGGACAAAGCAACUGCCAUCAACAUAGAUCCAAGAAAUUAAGGAACACACUCUAUCAAAGGUACCUUUUCAUAGGAAGCAUGUUUGCACUGAAAAGAAAGAAGUUGGCACAGGGAGAUCUUCAGCUGAAAGAAGAAAGACACCGAAAUCAACAGCUGCUGUGUGGUUUCG